rnacentral:misc_RNA from 1 species
UCUCCGUAGGUGAACCUGCGGAGGGAUCAUUACCAAAAAAACACACACAAGCCAUGUCCCCGCACUCCUCUCUCUCUCUCUUGGGGGAGGGGAAAUGCGAGGGCGUGACUUAUGUACAUCCAAACCCUGUGAAACACAAUCAAUGUUUAUUUGUAGAGGGUGGCACUUUACCGCCACAACCUUCUACAAACCAACACACAACCCCUCAACCUUUAUUUGAAACCAACAACAAAACAAAAAUCAAAACUCCAAACAGUGGAUGUCUUGGUUCUC